ensembl:lncRNA
GCCCCACCUUAGGCACCUUCUUGAGUGGGUCUUAGAAGCCCAAGCAAGUAACUGGUCUCAGAGAGCCUUCAUGCUCCGAUCAGUCACCCUGAAGGAAGAACAGAGAAGAAAAGGAGAGAAAAGGAAGCAAGAAAGAACGACACGGGGAGACCAAGCUUUGGGAUGUAAAAAGUUACAAUGAUUUCUUAUUUGCUGGGGUGGCAAGCAUUCUGCUCCUACCAGAGAACAGGAAACUUCCAACCCACCACACAAUUUUUUAAAACAUGGACAACAGUCAAGAAUGUUUGAACAUAUUGCUGAUUUACAGAAUUAGAACUAAAUGUGAAAUUUGAAAAAUCCCCAUAUAAUAUUGAGAAAAAAGCCAAUGUCCUUCAUAACUGACUUAAGGGCAUUUAUUAGUAUGUUGCUCUCUGAAAAUAAUGUCAUCAGAUGGUGAAGAACAAGGCGGUAGAGAGAAGUGGUCACACAAGAGAGGAAGGAACCACAAUGGCCAAACGCAACACGGCGUCUUACAUGGGGCCUUGGAAGAAAAGGACAUUAGUGGAAAAGAUCUUUGUAGAUGUCAUCAACUUAAGGAUCUUAGGAAGAGGCGAUCAUCCUGAUUCGUCCAUGGGUCCUGAAUCCAAUGACAAGUAAACUGAUAAGACAGACCCACAGAGAAGACACGCCAAGAGAAGGCUAUGUGAAUAUGGAGCAGAGGGAUGCAGUACAAGUCAAAGGAUGCCGAGAGUCACCACCAUCUGGAAGAGGGAGAGAGCAGAUUCUUCUCCAGAGCCCGAGAAGGGUGGGCCCAUCCACGCUUCGACUUUGGACUUCUGACCUCUGAAACUGAAGUGAAUAUUGUGAUUGGUUUUGUUUAAAGCAGUCUGGUUUGUUAUAAUUUGUUACAGCAACUCCAGGAACUAAUACAGCAUUUAUGGUAAAUAUUACUGUAGACAUACUUAAGCAGAGAUAUUUACUUUAAAAUUGACUCAGUACUUAAUUUCUCUUUAAAAAUAAUAUACAUUCUUUGAUUAAAAACAGUAAUCUUGAAAAAGAUUAGCCAGUUCCAGAUUUUCUUAUUUCCUAGGUUGAUUUCUAUCUAUAUGACCUAUUAUAUGAUAUGUGGUCACAUAUAUAUAUAUAUAUAUAUAUAUAUAAUAAUUUCUACCCAUAACUCUGCCACCUAAAGCUUGUCUGAAGAGUCUGUCAUUCUAUCAUUAUUAUUUAUUUAUGUUAUUGUCUAUAAUAAUAAGGCAUAUACAAAGGAGCUUAAUGUUCAGAUAAGGAAAUGUAUUUCAGAAUAUACUGGUAAAUUAGGUAGAAGUGAUGAUUUUUAGCAGCAGGUCAAUAAUUUAAAGACCAUUUCUUAAUUAAAAAAAAAUAGUGUUUCUCAAGUCACAGGGGUAAGUUUUACUCUAUUGCCUACUUGGAAAAGGAAUGCUUUUCCUAAAACAUAAAUUGCUAAAAAGCUACUGAUGUUCCUGCAACAUGUGUGCACAUGUGGGGAGACGUUGCCACACACACUUCAUAGGGUGAUGAAGAAGGAAUUCAUAGGGCCUGGACUCCAUCUUAGGCCUGUUCAUGCUGAUCAUGUUCGGCCACCUUUCCAAUGAACUCUGAACUCUGUGUUUAGUGCCUAUGAAAACAACAACAGAAGGAUAAGACCCUCUCCAGACAGGGGAACCUUGAAGAUUGUAUCUAGCUUACUUAUCGCCUAAGAGAAAACAUACACUAAUCACCCCUUCCUCCAGACAGGCCAUAAAUGUUUCUGUAUCUAUCGGAGUGUAACCUCAGGUUUAUUGAUUAUUGGCUAAUUGUUUGACUGUUUGAGCACAUGAGCACAUAGCACGUGAAUGAUGGGGUUAUUGGGAUCGUAUUUUCCUCGGUUUAAGUCUCAAGGAAUUUGGAGUGGUGGGUUCAGACAUGUACACAUGGGGUAUAAAAGAUUUUCACAAAUGCUUGUCGGGGUCCUUGGCUAAGAGGAGACUCUGUCUUGGGCGCGCCGGUGUAAUAAACUGCACUCC